AUAUUGAUACCUGGUCCGAACCAUCCAAAAAGGUCUCUGGCUGUUUUCCUACAACCACUGAUAAAAGAGUUGAGGAAUUUGUGGUCAACAGGGGUGAGGACGUACGACUGUUCAACGAAGACGAAUUUUACGAUGCGAGCUAUGCUUUUGUGGACCAUAAGUAACUUUCCUGCCUAUGGGAUGUUGUCUGGAUGGACUACACAUGGGGUUUGGAAUGGAAAUAAAGAUGGAGUUUGGAAUAUAAGGAAUAUGGGGUUUUGGGUUUGGGGUUUCGGAUUUUAGGGAUUUAAACGUACUACUCGUUAAUUCCUCGUAAGUUGACGUCGAACUUAUGACGUAAUCCUCGUUUAUUCCACGUAUGACCGAAUCGUUGUAAAGGACUCGUUAGGUAACGUGGAAAUAACGACGAAAUUAAAAAAAAAUAAAGAAAGCAAAACCCGUUAAUUCCACGUAGGACGGAAUCGUCGUAAAAACCUCGUAAGGUAAAUAGUCGUAAAUACCCCGUAAAGUAAAUGACGAACGAGGCACUCUUUAAUUCCACGUAUGACGGAUUCGUCGUAAACACCUCGUAACAUAAAUCGUCGUAAACACCUCGUAGAGUAAAAACUAGAAAAAAAAAGAAAAAGAAGAGAGAUACCAGAUUUACAUGUGGCAAGACUUCCAGCAAUUAUAAUACUUAAGUCUCGCCCACAUAAAUUCCAAUAUCUUCUUCUCUUCCUUUUUUUCUCAAAUAUUUAUAAUUUGAAUUGGAAUUUUGAUUUGGGAGUAUGAUGUGAGAUAAAUAGAUUGUGAUUUGGGAGUUUGUGUGUGGGUUGAGAAGGAGAGUUACGGGUAUAUUUAUAGGGAAGCUUUCCUCGGUAAUUCCACGUAAGCUAAAUCGUCGUAACUUCCUCGUAUCUAAUAACAUGGGCCUUUGUCAUUCCUCGUAAAUUCCUCGUAGAACAAAACGCGGGCCUUUGUAGUCUGUCGCUAUUUCGUCGUAAAAAAAACGCGGGCCUCUGUAAUUCGUCGUAAACUUACGAGGAAUUUGCGACGGUAUGUAAUCUUAUAUAUACCACCGAGCGCUCACUCUUUCUUUCCUCUCUACUUUCUCUCCACUUCCUCUCUCCAUUUCCUCCAUGUUUCGUUGCAAUGGUAAGCCUCUCUAAUUACUCUCUAAUUUAGUUAGUUUAGGAUAGAUUAGGUGGUUAGUAUAGGGAAUUUAGAUAGGUUUACGGAUAUUAUGUUAUUUAGUGUUGAUUAGGUGGAUAAUGUUGGGAAAUAUACUGUUGACGAAAAUUUAAAAAAUUAAAUUUUUUUCUCAGGUUCGAAAAGGUAGACUUACUGCCCAUUACAGAGAGAUGUUUGGUGAGCCGGGUAGUCGUUUAGACCCGUCGUCUUCUUCAGCUCCCGGUUAUUCGGGUCAGGAGACUGUCCCCGAGACUCAGUACACUCAGAGAGUCUCUGGGUCUCCUUCUUCUAGUGCACCAUCGGUUCCUCAUGUGCCUCCCCCGAUGGCUCAUCCGACGAUGCCUCCUCCUUUGUCCUCCUCCGAUGGCACCUCCGGCGAUGCCCGCCGAAAUUCAUCCCGACUUGAUGGUGCCUCCGAGUGCUCCUUACUCGCAGUACACUGUAGAGGACAUUCUCCGUCUACCAGGCAGAGAAGGUUUACCAGUCAUCGACCCCGACCGACCGGACGGAACUUUGUGGUAUGUUACAUUAAUUUUUUUUAUUCAAUUCGUUUAAAUUUUUUUUAUAACAUUAAAAAAUAAUUUAUAUUUUAAAUUUGUUUUUUUCCAGGUUUGGGGUUGACAAUUGUCUUGCAUCGGACGUAACCGACACGAUCAAAGGUUACUUGUCCAUGCCACAUCCGAACUGGAGUAAGACGCCUCACUACGUCAGAAAGACGUGGUUCAAAAUUUACGCUCAAAAAUAUCAUUGGGCUUUGGGGAUCACUGAGACGGUGAAGAAGAAGUUUGUCGCGAAGGCGAAAGUUUGCUUAUUGGACACGGUCUCCAACUGGAAGGGUGACUGGAUCGUGAAGGGGUAUGAGCGUGGCAAACCCGCUGAGCUCACCACGGAUGUGUGGGAUGGCCUCAUCCGAUAUUGGCGUCUUCCUGAUUCCAUUAGAGUCGCCCAGUCUUGCUCUAACUCCCGUAACACGGUUGAUGAGCACGGGAACGGGCCGAUGCUUCACACUACGGACCAAAAACCCCACGCCGGUGUCCGUUUGGAAAUGGUAAUUAAAUCUUUAAUUAAAUACAAAUUUUUAUAUAUAUUUAUAAAUUUUAAUAUUCUAACUUUCUAAAAUAUUUUUUAGGCCAAAGAGACGGGACAUUUCCCGUCUCUUGUGGAACUUUACGAGAAGACCCACAAGAACAAGGCGGGCGUAUUUCUAGAUGGCAAGUCCGAGCAAAUCUACAACGACUUGGUUGCUCGGGUUGAAGACCGCCAGACCCAGCUGACCCAGCAGUCCACCGAUGGAUUACCCGUCACCUUAUCCACACCUGAAGUGGAUAAGAUUUACGAGGAGGUAAAUUUUCUAAAAUUUUAAAUUUUUUUAUUAUUUAUUUAAUUUUUAACUUUAAAUUUUUACUAACAAUAUUUAUUUUUUGUUUUUAAGGUUGUCCCUAAAAAAAGGGGACGGACGUUGGGGAUUGGUUCCGUCAACGAUGUUCCGAGAGCGACAUCGUCUUAUGGUCAGCGACGGGAUAAUGAAGUCUCUCAGCUGCGUAGAGAGUCCGAAGAGCUGCGUAGAGAGUCCACUGAGCUGCGUCACGAGUUGACCACGACGCGAUCUGUGUUCACAGCUCGUGUGGGUGGACUCGAGGGCUUCUUGGACGUUGUAGAGGCCACAAAUCCGGACUGGGAGAACUUUUUGAGGAACAUGCGACAACAAAAUCCUAUUCCAGGCGAGUCAACAUCCGACGACACACAUGCCGAGGAGAAUGUCGCGAGGAGGAGUGAUGAAUUCUACCGGGCGAUUCACGACGACUAGCUCUUAGUUCUUUUUUAUUUGAUCGGCGGUUCUUGUAUUAUAAAUUCAAAACUUAUUUAUAUAUAAAAUAUUUUGGUUUUGAUUAUUUUAGAAUUUUAAUUUUAUUAAUAAUUUAAAUAAUUUUAAUUAGUUUUUUAAUUAUAAUUUUUUAUAUUUCUGUAAAAUAACGAAACGAAGUAAAUUCGUAGCUAAUUUUGCGACUUUUUUACGUGGAAGCUUAACGAGGUUUUCACGAGGAAAAGUUUCCAAGGAAUUAACGUGGAAACUUAACGUGUUUUUUACGAGGAAAACUUUCAAGGUAUUUACGUUUACUUUACGAGUAUUUACUUUCGAGUUAUUUACGUGUGUUUUACGAGGAACUCCUUUCGAGGUAUUUACGAGGAAAUAUAGCGACGUCCUUACGUGGAAGCUUUACGUAGUCUUUACGACGAAAUCAUUUCCUCGCUACCUUACGACGAAUUAGCGAGGAUAUAUGCGUUACGACAAAAACGUAUAACGACGAAACGGGUUUCCUCGCUAAUUCCUCGUAACACUGCUUUUACGACGAAGUCACGAGGAAAGCCGCCCUCGUAAAACUUGUGUUUUCUUGUAGUGUAAUCAAAUAUGUCAUAUUAACUAAUUUUUUAAGUGGUCAUACUUUGACUUGUUAAUAGUAGAUAAAUAAUAUGGUCCUAAAUUAAUAGAUUAGAUGUUUUAGGAGAAUAUACAUAAUUGUGAUCAAUCAAAUAUUUCAAUGAUAUUCCUCCUAUAGUAGACCAUUAAUUAAAUGCAUAAAAAGGAAUAACAAAUGUAGAUUUUUAAAACCAAAAUUAUAAUAGCGCAAAUGCUAUUAGAAAUAUAAAUAAAUAAAUAAUAGUAAAACAUAAAUUUCUUUGGAUAGUCAUUUUCAGUUUAUUUUUAUAAAAUAGUUUUCAAAGAGAAAAAUGAACAAAAAAUAAUGGAUAAAUAUACACUUAUACCCAUAGAGCUAACUAAUCUAGAUUUGGAAUUUAGAGUUAAGUGAUGGAGUUCUCAGAAUGAAAUUCCAAAUUUUUAAAAAAAAACUAAUAACUAAAUAUUAAAAUUUUCAAAAUAAAAAAUAAAAAAUAGCUAUUUUGGUCAUUUUAUUUUUUGAAAAUUAUUUUUUUGACAAAAAAAUUAGAAAAGACUAUUAGAAUUGCCCUUAGUAAAAAGUUUAAUGAGAUCUGUUUUCUUGUAAUUAGCAUUUUUGACUAAUGUUGAGACGGAUAAGAACGUAUCCGGAAGCAAAAAGUUUAUGGAAAUAUAAAAUAAUUCAAUAUUUUAAUUACAAAUUAUUAAAGAUUAAAGUAUUAUUCCAAAACCACAUUAACGAUUCUAUAUGUUUUUUUUAACCACAAGAAUUCUCUAUGUUUUCUUAUAAGUAAAAUAAAAAUAUAUUAAACAAUAAAUUAUUUUCACUUAAAUCUCCCAUAAUUCAUAGAUUUAUUUUUGGCGUAAAUAUGUUUUUUUUUCAACCUAUAUGGUAAAAAGUAGUACUUAAACGUAAAAGUAACAUUUUUAAAAUACGUGAUGUCAACACGAGAAACAAAUAGUAACUAUAUUUAUAAUAAUUAUGAAAAAUAUGCAGCAUUCUAGACAAAAAAAAACAAACUUUUCAAAACUGUUAUAAUUAAACAUAUUUAAUAUAUAUGACGUAUUUUCUGUAAUAUUAUAUCAGGAAGAUAGUUAAUUAGCUAGUUUACAAAAUGACAUUAUAAGAAAAUAAUAUGUAUAUAACCAAAUGGUAGUACACUAGUACACAGUACACACACCAAGUUUUAACCACUAGUAUUAUAUCGUGGAGAAGUUUUUAGGAAAAUUCAUAUAUAAAUGGAUCAAAAGGCCUGAUUAUAGACACAUGUAACAAGAUUUUUGUUAAAUUCAUAUUUGUUACUGAGUUUUAAUUAAAACUUAUUGGUGAUAAGUAGGUUGACCUAAGAACAUCUUCAACGGUCUUUUAUCCUUUCAAAAAAGGGUUUUACAUUCCAACAAUGUUUUAUCCCCUCUAACUUGAGAAUACACUAUUCAUUAUCUUAAAAUACUAUUUGUUUUUUACUUUAGUCACUACAAUUAUAUGUGUUUGACAAUAGCAUGAAUAAUUUUUUAUAUCUCAUAUUUUAGUUCUUAUCAUUGAUCACUGAAAUGGUAGCAAAUAUUUUAGAGCUUAGUAUCUUUUUUUAUUUCCUUUUGACCCAGAAAUUAAAUCCCCUAAUUAUUUCCUAACUAAAUCCCCUGUAUAUCAUUCUUUGAAUUUAUAUAUCAAAUAUUUUUCCUUGCUACACAAUUUUUUAAACUUAAAUUAGAAAUUUUCUAUUGAAGAUUAAAAAAACUUUGACACCAAGAAAUGAAUUGUCUAAUUGUUUUUGUAGUUUAGGAAAACGCUAAUAAUGAUCUUUCGUAGUAGUUAAUAUUAUAUAUCACGUUCAUGUAGCUUUCAUUCUAUUUAAAGUAUCGGUUGCAAACAAAGAAUACCAUCAUCAAGUAUUUAAAGUAAAGUAUCGGUUGCAAACAAAAAAAACUAAUUUCAUCUAAUAUGGGUUAACCCAAUUUGUAGUUGUUUUUUAAAAUAUUUAAUUUUUCUAUCUAUUGUUGUCAAAAAAAUGUAAAAAUAUAAUAUUUUAAAAAAUAUUAUAACUUUAAAAUCAAAAAAAUAUAUAAAUCUUAUUCACCAAGUUAGUAAAAGAAAAUAUUCGAAUGUAUCAGAUCCAUCAUAAAUUUGAAGUUUUAAUCCAAAAUUCCAAUUAAAAUGGUUUUCUGUCAAACGCAUAGAUGAUUAUAUAAACAAUCCAAAAUUGUAUACAUAUAUAAAAAAAUUGAUCAUAUAUAAAUUUUAAAUUUUCUCAAUAUCAUAUCUUUUAUAUUUUAACUAUAUAACUCACUCUGUGAAAGGCGUAGGUCUUAUCUUCGUUUAUAAUAAUUAUGAAAAAUAUGCAGCAUUCUAGACAAAAAAACAAACUUUCAAAACUGUUAUAAUAAAUCAUAUUUAAUAUAUAUGACGUAUUUUCUGUAAUAUUAUAUUUGGAAGAUAGUUAAUUAGUUAGGUUACAAAAUGAUAUUAUAAAAAAUAAUAUGUAUAUAACCAAAUGGUAGUACACUAGUACACAGUACACA